rnacentral:rRNA from 1 species
UACGUAGGGUGCGAGCGUUGCCCGGAUUUAUUGGGCGUAAAGAGCUCGUAGGCGGCUUGUUGCGUCGGCUGUGAAAACCCGCGGCUUAACUGUGGGCUUGCAGCUGAUACGGGCAGGCUAGAGUUCGGUAGGGGAGACUGGAAUUCCUGGUGUAGCGGUGAAAUGCGCAGAUAUCAGGAGGAACACCGGUGGCGAAGGCGGGUCUCUGGGCCGAUACUGACGCUGAGGAGCGAAAGCGUGGGGAGCGAACAGG